AUUGAACGCUGGCGGCAUGCCUUACACAUGCAAGUCGAACGGUAACGGGCCUUCGGGUGCCGACGAGUGGCGAACGGGUGAGUAAUGUAUCGGAACGUACCUUUCAGUGGGGGAUAACGUAGCGAAAGUUACGCUAAUACCGCAUAUUCUGUGCGCAGGAAAGCAGGGGAUCGCAAGACCUUGCGCUGAUUGAGCGGCCGAUAUCAGAUUAGCUAGUUGGUGAGGUAAAGGCUCACCAAGGCGACGAUCUGUAGCGGGUCUGAGAGGAGGAUCCUCCACACUGGAACGGCUACACGGUCCAGACUCCGCCGGGAGGCAGCAGUGUGGAAUUUUGGACAAUGGGGGCAACCCUGAUCCAGCCAUGCCUCGUGAGUGAAGAAGGCCUUCGGGUUGUAAAGCUCUUUCGGCCGGGAAGAAAUCGUAUAGGCUAAUACCCUGUGCGGAUGACGGUACCGGCAUAAGAAGCACCGGCUAACUACGUGCCAGCAGCCGCCGCCGUAA
rnacentral:rRNA from 1 species